ensembl:lncRNA
AUGAUGCUCUUCAUGCACAGAACACAGCUCUGGACCCUCCAAGAAAGAACCCCACUGUGACCUCACAGGCCUGAUGAGGAGCGGCGCAGCUCUCACGAGCCCAGAUGCCAGGCUCUUUCUCCCCGUCUCUCCUCUGAAUUCAGAGCUCAGGGAGGGAGCUAGCUGGAGUCUUGAGGAUGAAAGAGAAGAGCCCCUGGGGGCCGGGGCCCUGCUCAGGCCUCCCCAGUGGGCAGCCCAAGGAGAAAGAGGAGAGCUCCUGGCUUCCUUCUCCCCCAGGACUCCCCUCCUUCCCUGGGGGGUGUGGGCCCAGGAUUGCUGCCUGACGAGGUGGGGCGAGAUCUGGAUGUGUGUGCUGGCCUGCUUACCUGUCAGCACAGCCUGGGCUGAGCUCACUGGCCUCUCCGAUUGCAUCAGCUGCAAAGAGAGGGGGCCUACAUCUCAUCCAGGCUGACCUAGAAGAUUGUUUCCAUGAUUUCUGACUCCUCCACAGAGAGCCUGGGGGCAAAAAGGAUGCGCUAGACUGAGGGCUGAGGAGCUAGGCCCUACACGGCCUCUCUGUGUCUCCCUGUAACCGUCCUGUUCCAGGAUUUGACCUGACCGUUCCCCGUCCUCUGGUGCCGUUCUGGGCUGCUUCUCAGGAGCCCCUGGCUAGAAUUCUGCAGGGGCCAAUGUUCUGCUUGGAAGGCAGGCAGGAAGGGAGAGCAGGCGUUUUAUCUUGGCAUCUUUUGAGGUUAGGGCCUGCUAUUGUUUGAGGGAGAGCUGCCUCAUAGCCAAAUUGGGGGGGGGGGAGCCUGGGAAGCCAGGUGUGAAGAUUCUGCCGUGCCCAACACAGGCUGAGCUCACUGGCCUGGGCAGUUGCAUCAGCUUUAGUUGGUGCUGCCAAUCCUUCAGGCUAACAAAGGAUAUUCCCAGAAUCCAUCCAUCAUCGCCUCCUACCCUCUGGUAGGAGGCCUAGCCAGGGGCAAAGGCAGGAGUCUUCUGAGACACAGCAACACAGCAUCUCACCCUGGGAAGGGAUUUGUCUAGCCCAGCCUGAAUCCAAGCAAGAUUCCCUUCUCUAGCAGCACCCUUCCCAGGGAGUCAUCCAACCUUCAACAAAGGGGAUGUCACCACUUCCGCCCCGCCCGCCCCCCAACAUGAGAUGCCACUGGUUUAUGGGACACAUAGCAGCCAAUGAUGAGAGCCCAAGGCUUCCCUACCCAUCCUGAGGCUCGCAACAAACAUAUUGUCCCACAGCUGCCAUCAGAAAGAAGAGCUCUUGAAUUGGCUGAUGGUACCCUUUGUGUGUAUCCUCAGUUUGGUAAAAAAUGGAGAUUUGAACUCCACAUUUCAAUCCCCAGAAGUCCUUGGUACUUCCCAGAAUUCCCUAUAAUCUCAUGUGGACGAGAUCACAAAUUAUUAUUUAAAGGGCUCUCCGCCUACUUCGCUCUCUCUUCCUCAACUUGAAACAUUGCAACAUGUAGUAAGUAAGCUGUAAAUAGGCUGAUCAGCCCUGGGCAUGUGGCUUAUUAUUUUGUAUCCUUGAUUUCUAAUAAUCUUUAAUAAACCUCAUAAAAAUGUAAUACUUUUUUGUAGA